rnacentral:rRNA from 1 species
GAUGAACGCUGGCGGCGUGCUUAACACAUGCAAGUCGAACGGAAAGGCCCUGCUUGCAGGGUACUCGAGUGGCGAACGGGUGAGUAAGACGGGGGUGAUCUGCACUGCACUUCGGGAUAAGCUUGGGAAACUGGGAAUAAUACCGGAUAGGAGCUAUCUUCAGUGGGGUGGAUGGAAAGUUUUUUCGGUGUAGGAGGAGCGAGGGGCCGUUUAGCGUGUUGGUGGGGUAAUGGCCUACCUAGUCGGCGACGGGUAGCCGGCCUGCGAGGGUGUACGGACACUGCAGACCUGGGAGACGGGCCACAGUCGUGAAUGAUGCAGCAGGGGGGAAUGUUGGACAAUGCGCUAAAGCGUGAGGCAGGAAGGCCGUGUGGGGGUUGAAGGCCUUCGUGUUGUAAGAUCAUUUGCCUAGGGACGAAGCUUUUUUGUGACGGUACCUAGAUAAGAAGCACCGGCUAACUACGUG